rnacentral:rRNA from 1 species
CAGUAGCCGCGGUAAUACAGAGGGUGCGAGCGUUAAUCGGAUUUACUGGGCGUAAAGCGUGCGUAGGCGGCUUCUUAAGUCGGAUGUGAAAUCCCUGAGCUUAACUUAGGAAUUGCAUUCGAUACUGGGAAGCUAGAGUAUGGGAGAGGAUGGUAGAAUUCCAGGUGUAGCAGUGAAAUGCGUAGAGAUGUGGAGGAAUACCGAUGGCGAAGGCAGCCCCCUGGGCCAAUACUGACGCUCAUGCACGAAAGCGUGGGGAGCAAACAGGAUUAGAGACCCCCGUAGUCCCUGUCUCUUAUCC